rnacentral:rRNA from 1 species
AUUGAACGCUGGCGGCAUGCCUUACACAUGCAAGUCGAACGGCAGCACGGGUGCUUGCACCUGGUGGCGAGUGGCGAACGGGUGAGUAAUACAUCGGAACAUGUCCUUUAGUGGGGGAUAGCCCGGCGAAAGCCGGAUUAAUACCGCAUACGAUCUACGGAUGAAAGCGGGGGACCUUCGGGCCUCGCGCUAUAGGGUUGGCCGAUGGCUGAUUAGCUAGUUGGUGGGGUAAAGGCCUACCAAGGCCACGAUCAGUAGCUGGUCUGAGAGGACGACCAGCCACACUGGGACUGAGACACGGCCCAGACUCCUACGGGAGGCAGCAGUGGGGAAUUUUGGACAAUGGGCGAAAGCCUGAUCCAGCAAUGCCGCGUGUGUGAAGAAGGCCUUCGGGUUGUAAAGCACUUUUGUCCGGAAAGAAAUCCUUGGCUCUAAUACAGUCGGGGGAUGACGGUACCGGAAGAAUAAGCACCGGCUAACUACGUG